AUGACAUAAGCCAGUGAUCUAAUUCUCCCUUGCCAUCUGUUGAGGACAUGGGGGGAAAAGACCUCCGUGGCAGAGCAUAUUUGCACAGAAACACCUACUUUGCCAAGAUUGCUCAGUGCUAAUCCUCUGGCUUGCACCAAUCGUGUUGGAUCAAACUUUACAGAGCAAGGCUGCUCCAAAGGCAUGCAACAAUUGGAUGAAGCUAAUCAUUUGCUAUGAAAUAUGGAAUAAGCCUGUGGAACUUAUCAGCACAGAAAAUUGAGGAAAAUACAUUAGUAAGCUUUUCUUUAAAUAGUUUUGGUGGAUAGUGACCCAAUCCAGCACCCAGUGAAAAGGGAAACCUGGAGACUUGUCAAGUACUUGCAUAGCUGAAGGCACACUGGAAAAGACAGAUGGGGAGCCGAGAGGUCUGCCGGAUUAUCAGAGGACCCCAAAAAGCAGAGAGGACUGGACAUUGCAGAACACACGGGUCUGGGAAAGUGUUGGUCACCGGUUAACAUCAACCAAGUCGGGUAAAGACAAGAGUGUGUCUGUGAUAACUGCUGGCAGGCUGUUGGUUUCCAAGUAGUUGAAUCAGAACUGUAUAGCACACAGAACAUGAAGCGCAUGCUGGCUGUGUGUGUGACCCCAGGCAGGGAGCCAAAACUAGCAGAAGCAUUUUGGGGCACUUCGGUUUACAAUGCAAGGUGUGACACAACCUUUCAAUGGUCUGAACUGCUCACCAGAACAUGACAUGGAUAUUAUAAUGUUAGUUGUGGUGACUAUUAUAAGUUUGAGAGACUGUUUCUCUUCUCAUUUACUUUUUUCAGCUCUUUGUAUCUUUCUCAAAAAAUUCCUUUGGGGUUGAAACAUGAUUGUUGAAUUUCUAGUACAUUAGUUAGGAUACGUUUUAAGAGAUGUCAAUUCUCAUGCUUCAGUGCAUGAAAUGAAUGCCAGCUGAAAUCAACAAGAAAUUCUGCACUUUCAUAGAACCGUAUUGCAUAAUUAGAUAGUUGUUUUUUUUUCCAUCUCCCUUUGAAGUAUGUAGUAAGAGACACUAAGUUUCAGGAUACUGGAUUUGACAGAGCACUGAUCUGUUCUAUAGCAUUCCUGGAUCAGACCCUCCAAUCCAGCCAAGAUGAGCCCAGAACAAAAGAUUAAAGGUGUGUGAGGGGGACAGGGUGGGGCCUGCUUUAAACCACUUUUACAGCUCAGACCCGUGGAACAAAUCAGAACAUCCAGUGAGCUGUUUUAAUUAUUCUGCUGCCCAAGGAGACAUUUGGCAGUCAUAGUUGGCUGGGCUGGAGGAACCCCCAGUCCCAUGUACUCUUAUGUAACAUGCCUUCCACACCUGGGGUAAAGAAGAAGAUAACAUAAGAGAUGCUGCAGCAGCUGUACCACCCACGUGAUCCCCUACACUGAAUUGAGUCCUCAAGUGGUCAGUUAAGCCAGCUUUUGGGUGGCUUGGUAUAACCAGACUAUCACAAAGCAGAGUGAGGUCUAGCAUAUGGUUUUCUUCUACAGUGGGAAAGUAGUCUCCUCUAAAAUGGCAAGUGGCAGCUGUUUAAUUGCACAUAGCACUAGUAUAAAACUGGCUGAAACUGCAGGGGAGAAUUUUUAAGGAGGCAGAAAUAAUAAACAAAAUUUUCAGGACACUGGAUUCCGUAUCCUUACCCUUGCCCUUGCCAAAAGCGCAAUGGACUCUUUAAGGACUACAAAUGGCACGUAUCUUAGUUUUCUGUCUCCUUUGAAAGUAAGCACCUGCAGCAGGAGAGGACCUUCUAACGCCAUAUUCGCUCACAACUAAAAGUGCUAUUUAUUGAAUCACGAACACCACUUCCAACACCACCUUCAGUGGCGUUCUUUAGAGGUACCUCUUUCAAUACUAACUAGGCCAGUGCUGCUUAAUUUAUGAAAUGUGAUGGGAUCUCAGCAUCAGGUGGGAUGGUUGCAGGCUAAAAAUGACUAAAAGUGCUAGAGAUACAUUUCAUUUAAAUAAACAAACAAAAAUAAAUAAUAAGAAGUGGACUAACCUGUCC